rnacentral:rRNA from 1 species
CGAUCGCAAGAUUAAAACUCAAAGGAAUUGACGGGGCCCCGCACAAGCAGCGGAGCAUGCGGCUUAAUUCGACGCAACGCGAAGAACCUUACCAAGGCUUGACAUAUACAGGAAUAUGGCAGAGAUGUCAUAGCGGUAAAACGUCUGUAUACAGGUGGUGCAUGGUUGUCGUCAGCUCGUGUCGUGAGAUGUUGGGUUAAGUCCCGCAACGAGCGCAACCCUCGUUCUGUGUUGCCAGCAUUUAGUUGGGGACUCACAGGAGACUGCCGGGGUUAACUCGGAGGAAGGUGGGGAUGACGUCAAAUCAUCAUGCCCCUUAUGUCUAGGGCUGCACGCAUGCUACAAUGGCUGGUACAAAGGGCUGCGAUACCGCGAGGUGGAGCGAAUCCCAAAAAGCCAGUCUCAGUUCGGAUUGGGGUCUGCAACUCGACCCCAUGAAGUCGGAGUCGCUAGUAAUCGCAGAUCAGCAACGCUGCGGUGAAUACGUUCCCGGGCCUUGUACACACCGCCCGUCACGUCACGAAAGUCG